CAAAAACCAAAAGAAGUAAAAACUUGUUGAAGAACAAUGAGAAGCACUACUACACAAGGAGAAUCAUCAUCAUCAUCAACAUCAUCAUCCGUUAUUAGGGCGUCAAACCGAAGCUCUUAUAGGCGACAUGGAACGGUAAAACGCACGAGAAUCAUAAGGAUCAUAGGAAGAAGCUUGUUGUGUGUAAUAUUUCUUGUUGGUGUUGCAAUUCUCACAUGUUGGCUUAUUGUGUUCCCUAAAACCCCACGUCUUAGGGUGGAAACUGGCAAAGUCACAGCCGAUGGUUCAACUAAUAGAAAGCUCAAUGCCACUAUAGUUUUCACUAUCAAAAGCUACAACCCUAACAAAAGAGCCUCCCUUCAUAUGGAUUCUAUGAAGAUGAUAGUCAAUGACUAUAUGGGGCAACCAUUCUACUCCGCUAUCCCUACCUUCACGUUGAUGCCCCGAAACGAGACCGUCUUGACGCCCGUCAUCCGUGUCAACUUCAUAUACCCAUUUGGGCGCCCCGUGCAUUCGGGAUGGAUACAUCUUGAGCUUCGCUUCUCAGCUAAAAUCAGUUACAUUUUCAACAAAUGGACGUCGAAACCUCGAUUACUCGAGAUCUAUUGUAACCACCUCUGGCUUAAGAUCAAUGAUUCUACACCUAAUUUUGAUAAUACCAAAUGCAAAGUGGAUCUCUGAGACACUUGAACUAGGUUUUGUUCACUACAAUAAUUUAGACCUUUUCCGACACUGAAAAUCGUUGGGAUUAGUCGAAAGAGCGUCAGCGAAACUUUUUCCGACGGUCAAACAAUCAUCGGGCAGAUCGUGGGCAAAGCCUCGUCGGCGUAACCUUCCCCAAAGGUAUAACAGCUGUAUCGUAGGAAAAAAACAGUUAUCUCGAGGAUGGAGAAUGGGGCUUUUAUGCCAACCCUAAACAACACCGCAAGGAUAAUUUGUAAACCCGACGGUCGUAAAAGAUCGUCGGGAUAAAAAAAAUUGUCCGACGGUGCCAUCGGGAUAAAUAAUUAUAUCCCGAUGGUGAUAAAUUAGUAUCACCGUCCGGAGAUAUUCAAUUAUCUCGAUGGUGACCUUGUACUGUCGAGAUUUUGUAUCUUUGUCUGACCCAUGAACCAUCGGGGGUUUGUUCAUUAGCGUUGGAAGAAGAUAAAAGACGUAUUAAAUUAUGGUUUUCCCCAACCCCUUGUAUC